GUUGUGCUCUUCACAAUCUGACGGCCUAAUAUCAUUUUACAGUGUGUUUCUGAUUUCGCGCACUUUUGGGUCCUUUUUGAUGCUGAUGUGAAGGAGUGGUGUCCUCGUCUGAUCAAUCCAUCUUUUCUCUAAAAUAAACGUGUGUUACUGAUUUCGCGCACUUUUGGGUCCUUUUUGAUGCUGAUGUGAAGGAGUGAUGUCCUGUCUGAUUAAUCCAUCUUUUCUCUAAAAUAACCGUGUGUUACUGAUUUCGCGCACUUUUGGGUCCUUUUCGAUGCUGAUGUGAAGGAGUGGUGUCCCUGUCUGAUCAAUCCAUCUUUUCUCUAAAAUAAACGUGUGUUACUGAUUUCGCGCACUUUUGGGUCCUUUUCGAUGCUGAUGUGAAGGAGUGGUGUCCUGUCUGAUCAAUCCAUCUUUUCUUUAAAAUAACCAAGCAUGUUGCUUCGGGUUCACAUUUCUUCUACCAACAUCAGGAGGGUAGAGCUGCCUAAAAGGCCUGAGUCUGUGGACGAUUUGAAGUCUUUCCUUGGCGAGAAAUUGCAGCUGAAAUCUGGAUUUUCUCUACAAUUUGAAGACCCAGACUUUAACAAUGAACUUUGUAACUUGAAUGACAUCCAAGAAUUGCCAGCAGCAAAGGCAACCUUAAAGAUUCUGUGGGAAGAAGCAUCUCCUGCACUAACCGAUGCAAGUUCAGUGUCCUCACUUGAUACAGCAAGCAUGACAAGUUGUCAAAGUGAUGUCCAAAUCCCUGAAACAUCUGUGUCAAGAAAUCUCAGAAGUGUUGAACAGUGGCCCUCUACUUUUAACAUACCUGCUUUUUCUCUUGAUGUGGAACUCAGGCUGCGUAAAGCCAAUGAGAUAUACCAACAGACA